AAUGGGAGCCACUGAGGGUUCAGAGACAGGGAGGAUGAAAUCUGAGUCAAAGAGGUAGGGAAGGGCAGGCAGGAGGCUGGAGUCCCCUCCCCAUGAGGAAGGAAGUUCCAGCACCC